GAAAAACUUAGGUGGGAUAGUGUG
rnacentral:miRNA from 1 species